GAUGAACGCUGGCGGCGUGCCUAAUGCAUGCAAGUCGAACGGGGUCAUGGGAGCUUGCUCCUAUGACCUAGUGGCGGACGGGUGAGUAACGCGUGAGCAACCUGGCCUUUGGAGGGGGACAACAGUUGGAAACGACUGCUAAUACCGCAUAAUGUGCGAUGGCGGCAUCGCCGACGCACCAAAGAUUUAUCGCCAAAGGAUGGGCUCGCGUCUGAUUAGCUUGUUGGUGGGGUAACGGCCCACCAAGGCGACGAUCAGUAGCCGGACUGAGAGGUUGGCCGGCCACAUUGGGACUGAGAUACGGCCCAGACUCCUACGGGAGGCAGCAGCAAGGAAUAUUGGGCAAUGGGCGCAAGCCUGACCCAGCAACGCCGCGUGAAGGAAGAAGGCCUUCGGGUUGUAAACUUCUUUGACGGGGGACGAAACAAAUGACGGUACCCCGAAAACAAGCCACGGCUAACUACGUGCCAGCAGCCGCGGUAAUACGUAGGUGGCAAGCGUUAUCCGGAUUUACUGGGUGUAAAGGGCGUGUAGGCGGGAUUGUAAGUCUGACGUGAAAUCUAGAGGCUUAACCUCUAAACUGCGUUGGAAACUGCGAUUCUUGAGUGAUGGAGAGGCAGGCGGAAUUCCUAGUGUAGCGGUGAAAUGCGUAGAUAUUAGGAGGAACACCAGUGGCGAAGGCGGCCUGCUGGACAUAAACUGACGCUGAGGCGCGAAAGCGUGGGCAGCAAACAGGAUGAGAUGCUAGGUGUGGGGGGACUGACCCCUUCCGUGCCGGAGCUAACGCAAUAAGUAUUCCACCAGGGGAGUACGGUCGCAAGAUUAAAACUCAAAGGAAUUGACGGGGCCCCGCACAAGCAGUGGAUUAUGUGGUUUAAUUCGAUGCAACGCGAAGAACCUUACCAGGGCUUGACAUGGGGAUGACCGGGCUAGAGAUAGCCCUUCUCUUCGGAGCAUCCCACACAGGUGGUGCAUGGUUGUCGUCAGCUCGUGUCGUGAGAUGUUGGGUUAAGUCCCGCAACGAGCGCAACCCCUAUUGUUAGUUGCUACGCGAGAGCACUCUAGCGAGACUGCCGUUGAUAAAACGGAGGAAGGAGGGGACGAUGUCAAAUCAUCAUGCCCUUUAUGUCCUGGGCUACACACGUAAUACAAUGGCGCAUCAACAAAGGGAGGCAAAGCCGCGAGGCAGAGCAAAUCCCAAAAAGGCGUCUCAGUUCGGAUCGCAGGCUGCAACCCGCCUGCGUGAAGUCGGAAUUGCUAGUAAUCGCGGAUCAGCAUGCCGCGGUGAAUACGUUCCCGGGGCUUGUACACACCGCCCGUCACACCAUGAGAGCCGGGAACACCCGAAGCCUGUGAGCUAACCGCAAGGAGGCAGCAGUCGAAGGUGGGUUUGGUGAUUAGGGUA
rnacentral:rRNA from 1 species